ensembl:snoRNA small nucleolar SNORD12/SNORD106
GAUGUGGUUAAUGAUGUACACUUUUUUCCCCGUCUUAUCGACUUUGGUGAAAAAAAGGUUGAAAACUUUGCCAGUUAAGUCUGAAGCCACAUG